AAUAGAUACCCAGGUAGUCCAUGCCGUAAACGUUGGGCACUAGGUGUGGGGGACAUUCCACGUUUUCCGCGCCGUAGCUAACGCAUUAAGUGCCCCGCCUGGGGAGUACGGCCGCAAGGCUAAAACUCAAAGGAAUUGACGGGGGCCCGCACAAGCGGCGGAGCAUGCGGAUUAAUUCGAUGCAACGCGAAGAACCUUACCAAGGCUUGACAUGUGCCAGACCGCCUCAGAGAUGGGGUUUCCCUUCGGGACUGGUUCACAGGUGGUGCAUGGUUGUCGUCAGCUCGUGUCGUGAGAUGUUGGGUUAAGUCCCGCAACGAGCGCAACCCUCGUUCCAUGUUGCCAGCACGUAGUGGUGGGGACUCAUGGGAGACUGCCGGGGUCAACUCGGAGGAAGGUGGGGAUGACGUCAAAUCGAUCAUGCCCCUUAUGUCUUGGGCUUCACGCAUGCUACAAUGGCCGGUACAAUGGGUUGCGAUACUGUGAGGUGGAGCUAAUCCCGUAAAAGCCGGUCUCAGUUCGGAUUGGGGUCUGCAACUCCG
rnacentral:rRNA from 1 species